UCUCAACCUUUCCUACGUGGCGUUGUAUUAACGUAACUUCCAGUAACUCAUAACCAGGCAUAUUAUGCCGUAUAGAAAAAUUGUGUGUGUAUGUAUAUGUGUUUGUGUGUACGUAUGCAUGUAUGUGUUUUAUUUUUACAUGCACAUAAGCUAUGAUCACGUUGGUCCUCAUUACAUGUUAUCACUUUGAUUAUACAGGUGACUGUCGUUAUACGCACUUUCGCUGUCUGCGUUUUGUUUCAGUAUUAUUAGAAGCAUUAAUAUCUUAACCGUGGUCAAAUUUUAAAGACUAUUUCCUGCGCCAAACGUUUUCCACCCUUAUCAGGGAAUGUGACGCAGAUGAUGCUUGGCGUUCAAGAAUUCUGGCGGCAUUUUAACGUGAAAAAGGAAGGCCUGAAAUAAAAGUGACAGAAGUAAUGCCAUUUUAGGAAGGUUCUUAAAAACAUUAAGUGUUAAAUAUAAACAAAAGUUAAAUAAAUGAAGACAGCAGAAACAAUUUUAUCGCAAACCGAAAAAAUUAAAUUCGGGGCUGAAAAACAUUUCAAUGCUGUAAUUGCACUUCUUGAUCUGUUGUUAAAUGUAAAAAGUCUUUUCUAAUUCAUGAUAAGAUUAAAGGCACGUCGCUUAAGAA